rnacentral:rRNA from 1 species
CCUACGUGGUGCAGCAGUGGGGAAUAUUGCACCAUGGGGGAAACCCUGAUGCAGCGACGCCGCGUGAGUGAAGAAGUAUUUCGGUAUGUACAGCUCUAUCAGCAGGGAAGAAAAAAGACGGUACCUGACUAAGAAGCCCCGGCUAACUACGUGCCAGCAGCCGCGGUAAUACGUAGGGGGCAAUCGUUAUCCGGAUUUACUGGGUGUAAAGGUAGCGUAGACGGAGAAGCAAGUCUGAAGUGAAAGCCCGUGGCUUAACCACGGGACUGCUUGGGAACCUGUUUGACUAGAGGGCUGGAGAGGUAAGUGGAAUUCCUAGUGUAGCGAUGAAAUGCGUAGAUAUUAGGAGGAACACCAGUGGAGAAGGCGGAUUACUGGACAGUAACUGACGUUGAGGCUCGAAAGCGUGGGGAGCAAACAGGAUUAGAUACCCGUGUAGUC